UACGCAGGCGGUCUAUUAAGUCGGAUGUGAAAGCCCGGGGCUCAACCCCGGAAUUGCAUUCGAAACUGGUGGACUUGAGUACGAGAGAGGGAAGCGGAAUUCCUGGUGUAGAGGUGAAAUUCGUAGAUAUCAGGAGGAACACCAGCGGCGAAAGCGGCUUCCUGGCUCGAUACUGACGCUCAUGUACGAAAGCGUGGGGAGCAAACA
rnacentral:rRNA from 1 species